GCUCCUUUGGCUUAGCGGUAAAGCGUCGCACUUGUAAUGCGAAGAUCACUCGUUCGAUUCGGGUAAGGAGCA
rfam:Pyrenophora teres f. teres 0-1 contig_001590, whole genome shotgun sequence.